rnacentral:lncRNA from 1 species
AAAGGGACCAGGCCUGGGAUCGUGAAACAUCUGGGGAAACGACUCCACUCACUCACCUGCAGACUGAGAGCCCAUCUUGUACCGUGUUAUACUUUAAGAGAGUUGACUGUUGAGAUGAUGAUGAAAACGGAAGAACAACUGAGCCUAGUUGGAGGCUCUUUGAAGUCCCAGAACCUCCUCCUGGAAGCCCUCUUUGGUUAACCAGAUGGACAUCUCAGUUGCCCUCUGAGCCUGAACCAAGUGUCAGGAAGAGUUUUCUAUGGCCCUUGACUCCUUAACUCUUUGCUUAUAGCGUCUCUGCUCUCUGAUGCCUCUGCUGUCAGAGAAAGGCUGUGGUUUAAAUAUUUAUUUAUGAAUCCAUCAGCUUGGGCCAACUAGGUCCAUUUAUCACCGUUUUGACUGUGUCUAAACUGUCAUUAGUGGUGUGACUAGAAACCAGUUAAUUUCGCUGGGUGGUAAAUUCGUGGACUGAUCUCCAAACCCUCCUACUGUGCUAAUGUUGCCAAUGGAAGUUUCCAGAGGCCAGGAUCCCUGGCCAACACGUGAUCGUAAACAACAUCAGGGCCUCACAGGGAACUCACAAUUUACUGAGGUUUGCUCUGUGCCAGGUGUUUUCAUGAUCCUCCAUCCCCUUGUCGUUUAGUCCUCUUCUCUGAGUCCUCCCCAUUUUACUGAUGAGGACGGAAAUCGAGGCACACGAUUAAGCGUUUCCCUGGGUCACACAGCUAAUGAAUGGCGAGCUGGAAGUCAGUCCCAGGUCAUCAGACUCCGAAGUCCAUGGUUUUGGUGAUGAAGGUGGGCUGUGAAAUGUGUGUCUUAUUCUAUGCAUGUGAGUCCGCUGGAACCAACUUUUCCACUUGGAACACAAUCUCAGUGCCUUUCAGCAGGUAACCGGCGCCAGACCAGAUCUCCAGAGAUGGAGGUGGUCGGCCUCAGGGCCCAGCCAUGAGAAGGUGUAUGAGGAGGCAUCGCAUCAGGCGCCCACCCUGUGCUUGCAGGGCCUGACCAUGAGCGCCGCCUUCAGUUUUACACCUUAGGCACCCCACUUGGCUCCCCUUCGUCCCAGCCCUGCCAGACCCACCCUUGACUCUGUGUUUCCUUUCUGGAAACUCGAGAGGCCAUUUCUACUUAAAGAGUCCUCACCUGGCCUACCAGCGACCAGAUCUGCCCAAGUGCAGAAGAAACACUUGGUUAUCUCCUCUUUCAUCGUCCCCGCUCGAGCAUAAAACAACAGAAAGUUUCCUAUCGGAACAGCAUGCUUGUGCCAAAAACAAAUUAGAAACAACAACAACUUCUCAAAAUUUUGAGCAAAAUGAUGGUGACCGUGUUCUGGAAAUGGAGCAAAGUGAGUGAGCCACUGUCACUGUUACAUCUGACAAUCACUACUGGUACUUGGCUAAAUAUUGCAGCCACCUCUUCAGGCUACACAUGUCAGGUGUACCAGAAGCACCUUCCGCCUCCAGCUCACUUCUGGGAGAUAUUUAGAGCUGACUCCUCUCCCCUCCCCAGUCUCCAGCCACCAGCAAGCUCUCUCCUUGGUGUCCCCAGCUCCUGCCCCUCAUGCUGAUAGAAGCAUUGCCCGCUGUUCUUCCUGUUCUUACAGGUUUCCUAGUGCCUGUGACCAAACACCUUGUGUGUGCUCCCCAGGAGAGAAAACCGCUAGCAGCCUCAGACAGGUGAGGAGUUGUUCCUCCUCAGACCCAGGAAUCAUUUCCCAGUGGAAUGACACGGUGAAGUGGAUCGCCAUUUUUAAACCUUCAAUAAUAAAGAUCUUGUGUGUCAUUUCAGUUUUAAUUUUUUAUCGUCCAGUCUUUACUCUCCAUCAUUUCUUUAUCCCAGAAGCCCCAUUAAAUGUCAUUAAGAGCCAUAAAUGUAACUGGCCACUAAUGUGGAAGGAUUGUGAUCUCCGGCAAACAGCCCCGGCAAGCAAAAGAACAGGAAUCCUGGGUCAGUUUCCAACUGUGCCUGUGACUCACUGUGUGACACAAAGCAAAGCUCCACUUUUGCGGAGGGAGAGCUGUGGGGCAGCGAGACACACAUAGCCUGGGCCCUGACAGAGGUGGAGGGGUUUCCCUGCAUGCAGGAAGCUCAGGGGUCCCUGUUGGAAUCCAGUUCCAUAGUAACUCCUUAGUAAUGGCCAUGAGCUGUGCCUCCAAUGGAGACACUACCAUGGCUUGGACUGGAUUGUGGCACUUGCCCUUCGUGACAUCAUUCUCAUAGGUUAGGAAUGCACCCUGAUUAUUUCUAACUCCACUUUAAUAACUUGUUCUGGAUCUGCCCUCCAGGAAUUUAUUUGAAACUUUCUUUAUUCUAUUUAUAUUUCAGCCUGUACAGCCUUUUCAGGCAACAAGUAGAUUUACCAUUUAUGUAAAAACACUUAAUUCUAAAACACAGGAAGUGCUGCAUAAUGGUUUGUUAUA